GCCAAUUUGCAUAAAAAAUCCACUAAUUUUGCGCUUUUGCAAAAGUGGGCCACCUUUUUAGUUUUUGCAGAUUCGGACCGAAUUUUCAGAAGGAUGACCAAACUACCCUUCUUUCAAAAUUCAUAAAAAUUAUAUACUUUAAAUGUCUAGAAAAAUACAACUGCUAAGCCAUUAUGUAUAAAACUUCUUGGAAAUGACAACUGCUAAGCCAUAAUUAUAUGCAUGUACCUUUCUUGUAAAACAAGAAACCUCAUUCAAGAGAAAAUAAAAAAAAUAAAGAUUAAGUAGUGCAACAAUCUCUUCAAAAUAGUGCAAUAUCUGUAUAUGUAGUGCAACAUAUGCAUUGUUAAUAAAUAUUUUGUAUGACUUUUACACUAAAUUACACAGUUUAGUAUAUUACACGAAAAUAAUAUAAUAUAUUACAACAUACUAUAAAAAUUAUACAAUAUAUGUACAAACGGUGCAUAUUUUACACUAUUUAUACAUAUAUUUACACCAUUUGUGUAAAUGUUGCACUAUUUUGAGAGGAUGUUGCACCAUUUAGAUGUGUGUUGCACUCUUUCUUUUUGAAAAUUAAAUUUCAUUCCAUAUGUCAUUAUGUAUAAAACUUCUUGGAAAUGACAACUGCUAAACCAUAAUUAUAUGCAUGUACCUUUCUUGUAAAACAAGAAACCUCAUUCAAGAGAAAAUAAAAAAAAUAAAGAUUAAUUAAUAAGAUGAAAGAGUGCAAUAUCCUCUCAAAUAGUGUAACAUUUACACAAAUUGUGUAAAUAUCUGUACAAAUAGUGUAAAAUAUGCACCGUUUAUACAUAUAUUGUAUAAUUUUUAUAGUAUGUUGUAAUAUUAUAUAUUAUUUUUUCGUAAUAUACUAAAUUAUGCGUAAUUUAGUGUAAAAAUUAUGCAAAAUGUGUAUUAACAAUGCAUAUGUUGCACUACUUAUACAGAUAUUGCACUAUUUUGAAGAGUUUGUUGCACUAUUUAAGAGGAUGUUGCACUCUUUCAUCUUAUUAAUUAUUAUUUUUUUUAUUUUCUCUUGAAUGAGGUUUUUCGUUUCACGAGAAAGGUACAUGUAAUUAUGACUUAGUAGUUGUCAUUUCAAGAAGUUUUACACUUAGUGACUUAACAGUUGUAUUUUCUAGGCAUUUAAAGCAUAUAAUUUUUAUGCAUUUUGACAGAAGGGUAGUUUGGUCAUCCUUCUAAAAAUUCGGUCCGAAUCUGCAAAAACUAAAAAGGUGGCCCACUUUUGCAAAAGCGCAAAAUUAGUGAAUUUUUUAUGCAAAUUGGCCAUAAUAUUUAGAAUUUAAUAAUAAUAAUAAUAUAAUAUUUGUGAUUUAUU
rnacentral:lncRNA from 1 species